rnacentral:misc_RNA from 1 species
UCUCCGUAGGUGAACCUGCGGAGGGAUCAUUACAAGAAGAGUUUUUGCAAAGAGACUCCGAAAACCAUCGCGAAACGUACCUCGUCAGUCGUUGCUUCGGCGGGCGGCCCCCAGGCCGGGGCCGCAGCCCGAGAGGGCGCCCGCCGGAGGGACCGAAACACCCUGUUUUCCCAGCGUCUCCUCUGAGUACGACUAGCGAAAUAAGUAAAAACUUUCAACAACGGAUCUCUUGGUUCUG